rnacentral:rRNA from 1 species
CAGCCGCCGCGGGAAUACGUAGGGCGCAAGCGUUGUCCGGAAUUAUUGGGCGUAAAGAGCUCGUAGGCGGUCUGUCGCGUCUGGUGUGAAAUCCCGAGGCUCAACCUCGGGCUUGCAUCGGGUACGGGCAGACUAGAGUGCGGUAGGGGAGACUGGAAUUCCUGGUGUAGCGGUGGAAUGCGCAGAUAUCAGGAGGAACACCGAUGGCGAAGGCAGGUCUCUGGGCCGCAACUGACGCUGAGGAGCGAAAGCGUGGGGAGCAAACAGGAUUAGAUACCCCAGUAGUCCCUGUCUCUUAUAA